rnacentral:rRNA from 1 species
AGCAACUUGGGAGAAUGCAUUCUUAGUAUAAUAUAGGUAUGUGUUUUAUAUUUAUAUUAUAAUUAGGAAAUCAUGAAAUGUGAAUGUAAUUCUAGGUAAAAUAUUGAUAAUGACAAAUUUUUAUCUAAAUGUCUUGACCAAAUCUUGUGCCAGCAGUCGCGGCAACACAAGGAAGACAAGUGUUAUUCAUCUUAAAUUGGUUUAAAGGGUACCUAGACGGUAAAUUAGGCCUUAGUAGGUACGUUUUUACUAGAGUUAUACAUGCGAGGGGAUUGUGUCAGUAUUACCAGAGUAGAGAUGUAAUUUUUUAAUACUGUUAAGACUGGUAAAGGCGAAAGCAAACCUUUAUAUAUUAACUGACGUUGAGGGACGAAGGCUUGGGGCGCAAACAGGAUUAGAUACCCUAGUAGUCCAGGCAGAGAAUUAUGAAUGUCAUAGAUUAUAUAUAU